rnacentral:rRNA from 1 species
GAGCUAAUGCGGGCAGGCUAACACAUGCAGUCGAGCGGAACGAGUUAUCAUGAACCUUCGGGGAACGAUAACGGCGUCGAGCGGCGGACGGGUGAGUAAUGCCUAGGAAAUUGCCCUGAUGUGGGGGAUAACCAUUGGAAACGAUGGCUAAUACCGCAUGAUGCCUACGGGCCAAAGAGGGGGACCUUCGGGCCUCUCGCGUCAGGAUAUGCCUAGGUGGGAUUAGCUAGUUGGUGAGGUAAGGGCUCACCAAGGCGACGAUCCCUAGCUGGUCUGAGAGGAUGAUCAGCCACACUGGAACUGAGACACGGUCCAGACUCCUACGGGAGGCAGCAGUGGGGAAUAUUGCACAAUGGGCGCAAGCCUGAUGCAGCCAUGCCGCGUGUGUGAAGAAGGCCUUCGGGUUGUAAAGCACUUUCAGUCGUGAGGAAGGUAGUGUAGUUAAUAGCUGCAUUAUUUGACGUUAGCGACAGAAGAAGCACCGGCUAACUCUGUGCCAGCAGCCGCAA